UACAGAGGGUGCAAGCGUUGUUCGGAAUCAUUGGGCGUAAAGGGCGCGUAGGCGGUCUUGUAAGUCUUGUGUGAAAUCCCUCGGCUUAACUGAGGAACUGCACGAGGUACUGCAAGACUUGAGAUCGGGAGAGGGAAGCGGAAUUCCGGGUGUAGCGGUGAAAUGCGUAGAUAUCCGGAGGAACACCGGUGGCGAAGGCGGCUUCCUGGACCGACACUGACGCUGAGGCGCGAAAGCUAGGGGAGCAAACGGG
rnacentral:rRNA from 1 species